UGCUUCUCCCGCCCUCACUCAGAGGCGCGCGCGUGCACGCCUACGCAUCCCGUUCCCCGCCCUUCGGCCCCGGGCCGCCCCGAAAACCCGGUGGGGAACACGCGCUGCCACAGCCUCCACACAACGAGCCCGAACCGGAGCCGGACUCCUCCCGGCCGGCCUACCACCCGGCCCCUCCCUUUCACUACCAGCCCCGUGCCCUGGCGGAACAGAAAACCCGGGUCGGAGCGCGCCUCGAGGUCACCUUCCUGCCCCUCCCACCACCUCAGGACCGACUGGGGGAGAUCUUGAUUAUCUUAAACUAGUUAUCCCCCGGGAAUCUCAACUCAAAUGGCCCAAAUUCAUGAUCUCCCUCUUCCCUCCCACAAAACCCCACCCCUUUUCUGAACUGUCUCAUUACUGUCUAAACCUCGGAGCAUCCUCGACUUGUCACUCUCAGGCGUCCCACAUGGCCAGACAAGAUCCAAGCCUCCAUCUCCUAGGAACCUUCUUGGAUCCCCCAACCACCUUCAGAGCUGCUGGAGCCUUCCUCGCAAAUUAACCAGAGAUAAUCGUAAGGUCAUAUUACCUGAUGGGCAAUAUCUGUAAAUGGCUACUCUUCAUGGUUUGGAGCUGGAAAGGGCCAUGGAGUCCAACCCACUCAUCUUACAGAUGAAGAGACUGAGGUCCAUGGAAGGCAAGUGACUUAAAAUCAUGGAUCUAGAGACAAAAAGGAUCUCUGAGGUUACUUAGUUCAACCCACUUAUUUUACAGAUGAGAAGUCUGAGGCUAAGGGAGAAAAUGUGACUUCUCACUUAGCACACAUUUGUUCAAGGUCUCCCAGCCAGCAUUGUCAAAGAUAGAACUUGGACUCAUGACUUCCUCAUCCCAAGCCUAGAACUCUAUUCACUCCUCCUUUUAGCUGCCUCUGUAGUUCAUAAUGCAAAAGAAUAAUCACUUACACUUAUACAUAACUUCAUAAUUUAUAGUCCUGUGACACAGAUGGUAAUACAGACAUUCUCAUCCCCCUUUUACAGAUGAGAAAACUGAGGUAAAGACCACACAAUGGCAGAGCAGAGACUCAAAGCUAUCUUGUGUGGCACUAAAACCAGUCAGUGCUCUUCAUAGUCCAUCAUUCUAACUCCAGUGCUUGCUCAACAAGCAAGCAGAGGGUGAGAGGAAAUAGGAAGGGCCCAAACAGCCAGAACAGCAAACUUAUCAUAUUUUCAAAAGUAGCUCAGUUUUUGUCCCACAUAUGCCUUUGUCCCACUUUGUGGUUAAUAAUGUCAUUGGGCCAGUCAAUGUACUGACCAGGUUACGGGUAAUAUUGAACUCUGUACUAGAUGGAACAAGCAUUGAUUGCACUUAUAACACAAGAUAGAAGGACUGCCAAAAGGAUAGAAUCAGUUUUGUUUACUGACCUCUUUCCUUCCUUUGUUUUUUUUCUCUUUCCUGUUAGAUCAGGGGUUCUUAACCUUGUUUAUGCCAUAGAUGCUUUAGGCAGUCAGGCUGAUGAAGCCAAGGGACCUUUGGGAAUACUGGUUUUCAAUCCAUAAAGUAUACAGGAUUAUAAAGGGAGCCAAUUAGAGUGAAAUAUAGUUAAAAUAUUUUUCAAAACAAGCUUGCAAACCCCAGAGAUUAAGAACCCCUGUGCUAGAGGGUCCCAGAAAAGACAAACCAAAGAAAAAGAUGCUGUUGAAACAUAUUUUUAGUCAUCCCUGCAGAUCUUUCAUCUGAAGAUUUCAAAGUGUUUUUGCCAUGAGUAAUUACUAUCUUGUUUUUAAAGAUGGGAAGGGAGAGGCACCUCCAAAUUAAGUGGCUUGCUCUCAAUCACAUGGCCAGCCAGUGGCUAGGCUACCCUUAGAACAAAGCUGCUCUCUUCACCAGGGAUGCUCUAACUAGGCCACAUUCUGGGAAACUGGAAGCUUCAAUAAUUAGGCUAAGAGUUUGGGGAACAAGAGGUUUUGGUCCCUAACUUUGUGUUGUAGCUUUUUUCCCCUUUAGGAUAUGAAAAACUCUACCUCCUGAUAAUCAAUCAGUUCUUGCUAAGCAGCUAUGCCUCACUUAUGUGUAUUUCUAUUUUUCAAUGUGUCUUUACCCAUGCAAAUAUAAAGCUUCUUUAGAACCCUGCCUGCCCCAGUUCUUCAUCCAACACAUUCCCUCCUCCUCCUCUAGCUUUCACAGUCUGUCAGGGCAGAGCAGAGCUGAAGCAGUUCUUACUGAGCUGCAAAAGAGUUUGUUCUAUGGUCUAAACUCUAACUAGUGUUCCCAGAGCUUUAGCAAAUGGAUAUCACCUGUGCUCACUUCACCAAGGUAGGACAUAGAAAUUCUGUGUUCAGUGACAACCUCCUAAACUUACCUAUUUCUAUUGAAGACUUCAUUGCUCUUCCAGGCUCUCAGGUUCAUAAUGUUGAGAUCAUUCUCAAUUCCUUGCCUUUAUCUAACAUAGUCAAUCAGUUGCCAGAUCUUACUGUUUUUGGCUCUAAAGCAUCCCUCAAUGUUUAUACCCCUACUACUACUCCUAUAGACCUCCUCUCUACUCAUACUACUGCCACCCCAGAUCAGUCUCUCUUUGCCUCCCACCAGGGCUAUUGCAAUGGUUGGUCUCCUUGUUAGUCUGCCUGCCACAUAUUUCCUCCCACUGAAAUACAUCUUUCACCCAACCACUAAAGUGACAUUCCCAAAAUGCAGGUCUCCUCAUGUCACAAUCUUACUCACUAAACUCUAGUGGCAUUCUACUUCUAAGAUAAAAUCUAAGAUUUUUUUUUUGUCAAAAGAAGGUCCCAACAUACCUUUCCAUCCUUAUUGCACAUGACUCCUCUCCACCCACCCCAAGGCAUGGCUAAACUAACCUCCUUGCUGUCACACCUCAUCCAUGUAAUUCCAUCUCUUGCCUUUGUGCAUUUUCUCUGAUAGUCACCCAUGCUUCCAAUGUAUUCUCUCCUCACCUCUAUGUUUCAAAAUCCCUGGUUUUCUUACAAACUCACCUUCCAUGAGGUCUUUUGGGCAUCUCUAGCUAUCAGCAUUUCCCCUCAAAUCACCUUGUAUCUAUUUUGUAUAUACUUACAUAUGUCUACGUAAUCUCCUCUGCUAGAAUGAAAGCUCCUUUUUUUUUUUUACAUUUGUCUUUUAUCCUCAGCACUUGGCAGCUAGAGGUGCAGUGGAUAGAGCCCUGGGCCUGGAGUCAAAAAGACUUGAGUUCAAAUUCAGUUUUAAGACACAUAAGCUUUAUGAUCUUGAGCAAGUCACAACCUUAUUUACCUCAUUUUCCUCUUCUGUGAAAUGAGCUGGGAAAGGAGAUGGCAAGCCACUCUAGUAUUUUUGCCAAGAAAAUCCAAAAAUGGGAACACAACUGAAAUGACCCCAACUAUCUAGUAUAGUGUCUGUUGAAGGAUCAUUGAGAAUUGUUUAUUGAUUAAUCAAUUAAUUAGUAAACAGUUUCAUGAUUUACCAGAGUCCAAAAAGCUCAUCACUAAGUAAUGAACUCCCUGGUGGUGAGUUCAAGCUGAUCCUCAAUCAAUCUACAAGCAUUUAUUAAAUACCUGUGCUCACCAUGUUCCAAACAAUGUUCUAGACAUUAGACUCCAAAGUCAAAGUAAAGCAAUCCUUGCUUUCAAGGGGUUUGUUCAUGUCCUAUCAAAGGAAAGAAUAUAUCCAUAAGUGUAACUACGUUGUAACUAAAAACAAAUCCAAGAUAGUUUGGAAUGAGAGAGAAUUAGCAAAUAAGGGCAUUCUCAGAUACAUAGUACAUCACUGAGGCCAUAUUGGGAGGCCUUCCAGUUUGAGGGAGUACCCAUUAAGGUUUGUGGUUUUCAAAUUCUGAUGGUUACCUUUCCCACUAAGAUGAAGUAUUUCAGCUGGACUCAGUGAAGGAACUCUUGUUUCCUGGAGAAAUUUUUAUUCUCUGGGCCAGUGAGGGGACAAUCAUGGAGGGGAAUGGUACAUAAAUUCCCUUGCCUCAAGUUGGGAACACUAAGAUCUUGGAAAGGAAUU